UAAACAAAAAGUUUAAAGUUAGUGUCUGUUUAUUGUAUUUGACAGUGACUCCCAGCGCCCUCUCCAUACACGACCGGUCCGUCGC